rnacentral:lncRNA from 1 species
CCUUGGGAUCUGCCUGCCUUGGCCUCCCAAAGUGCUGGGAUUACAGGCGUGAGCCACUGCACCUGGCAUAAUUUUGGCUACUCUUAAUCAACCCCAGAAGGUUUAAUAAGAACUUUGAUUAGCUACUUUCUAGCUUCAUGAAUUUACCAAGCUAUUCCUGGUUUUGCACCUUUAAGAAACUCAUUUUUUAAAUCUGAUGAAUAUAUGUCCAUAAGAAGCUUUACUUGGUUAAAAUUAAAUACAUACAAAAUUGACAGAAAAAUUAUUUUGUCAAAGAAAAAUGAACGAAGAGUAGUGUCAUUUUUCAUUGUCACAUUCAUUUCUCUAAGAAAUGGAUCUGUCCUUCAACAUCUCCUCCUAGCCCAUACUGUUUGAAUAUAGAGGGCUCUUGGGCCAUGGUCCGGGGAUUAUUUAUAAUCAGCAACAAGGGGUUACAGUGUCAUGGCUUACAAUUUGGUGGGGUGGGACCAGGGACUAGUUGGAGUUUUUUGUUUUGGUCGUCAUAAUUUAUUUGAAGCAGGGAGCUUGGCUCUCCACCCUUUGUACUUAUUAGUCCACCAAACAUCUGCCCAGUCACCACUGGGACUUUUAACACUCCAUACUUAUACAUGCUUGAUUUUUUGUGGUAUAGACAUAGACACUUAUCAACAUGGGCUAGCUUCUUUUGACCUUGCUCAUCUCCAUACGGGAUGACUGAACAGGCAUCAAACUGAAGGGUUAAAAAAUGACUAGCCUGAGUUACACUGAUGACAAGAUGACCUUCUGUUGAAAAGAAAAAAGAGAAUAAAUAAGUGAUUAUUAAGCUCUUUUUAGAGUUAAUUUGGUGGGGGUGGGCUGUGGAGUGACAGUUCAUGAUUCUGGAGGUGGCGGCACCUUCUUGACUCGGGUGUGAUGAGUCCAUCCUCUUUCUGUUGUCCAGACUGCAGUCUCAGUACAUAGGAGCACUAGGUAGGGUCCUUCCCAGGCUGGUUCGAGCUUCCUUUUCUUCUACCCUUGGAUGAGAACAUGGUCUCAAGGCCAAUGCUGAUGUUCUGGAAACUCCAGGGGUGAUGCCUGUGCUAGGAGACCUUUAGUCCCAAGGGAAAAGAAGGUAGAGCCUAGACCAAGUAUAUAAUUUUUGAGGAAAUGAUCCUUUGUUUCAAACAUAGGGAUGUCAGCAAUGGAGUGUAAGUAGGGCAUUCCAUAGAGCGUUUCCUCAGGUGACAGGCCAAUAUCUUUCCAAGGGGCAGUCCGGAUUCUUAACCAAGCAAUAGGAGUAUAUUUAGUCCAUGGCAAUCGAGUUUCUAAAACUAAGUUAAGUGGUUUAUUAGAGUCUGAUUCAUCCACUCUACUCUUCCUGUGGAGGAUGGAUGCCAAGGAGUAUGGUAUUCCCAAUGUAUAUCUAGUACCUGUGCUAACUUCUUAAUGACAUGCACAGUGAAAUGGGUUGCAGUAUCUGAAUCAGUAUUUUCUAUUAGUUCAAAUCUGGGUAUGAUGUUUUCAAUUAGCGCUUUAACUACAUUACUGGAGGUUGCACGUGAGAAUGGGAUUGCCUCUACCCAGUGGGUAAAAUGGUCUAUUAUUACUAAUAAGUAUAACUACCAAUUGGAGGCAUUUCAGUGUAAUUGAUCUGAACACUUUGAAAUGGUCUCAGUGCUGGAUUUCUUCCACCAAGGCGCAAUUUCCUUAGAUCCUGCUUAUUAGCUUUUUUUACAUGUUAAGCAACUAUCUAUAACUUGUUUGGCCAGGGUGUAAAUUCUUAUACACCCAUAAACCCGGAGAACUGCAUUGCACAUUGCUUGGGGUCCCCAAUGGGUCCCUUGAUGUAAUUGAGACAAGACUUCCCUCAUGAGAGGUUUUGACAACAUUUCCCUUUGAUCUGAUAAUAUCCAUUUCCUAUCCGCAUUUUCUUUAGCUCCUAUUUUUAUCAACGUCUUUUGUUCAAUGGAAGAGAAAACGGGUUACAGUAGGAGGAGGGCAUGGAGUUAAAUGGAAGAAAUGGCAACUUGUUUUGCUAUUUUAUUGUAACCGACUGAGUUAUAGAGAGAAUGCCACAGUCUGAGACUAAUUCAGUGAUCCUUUAUUGCCAGCAACCGAGAGACGGCUAGAGCUCAAAAUUCUCUCAGCCCCGAAGAAGGGGCUACACAUCUUUUUACACCUUGGUCUAAAGAGGGGAGGAGGAGUGUAGCUGAAGCAAUUUUUUACAGAAGCAGAACAGGCAAAAAAGUUGAAAGAUAAAUGGUUACAGAAACAGUAAUAAGAAAAUAAACAGUUCCAGGUGCAGGGGCUUAAAUUAUCACAAAGUGAUAAACGCAAAGGCUUUGGGCACCGUCAACCGAGUGCGUUCCCAGGAGCUGCUGGUACAGCUUGCCUCAGUAUCUUAUCAGUAAGCGCAUUCUUGGAUGUGCUUGGAGUCAGCUUGCACCAGUUAUGUCCUUAAGGGAGGGGGACAAGGGGCUGCAAGUGAAGAAACCAAAAUGGAGUCUGUCCAGCUCUCUCAGCUAAGAGAGAGUCAAUCAGGUUAAAAGAAGUUAGGGUAUCACAUUUCCCACUCGUGUUUGGGGGAAUCAGAUCAUUGAUUCCUCGGUUAUAACAAGGGUGUUAUAUUGGGUUCUAAGAUACAUAAGAUUGACAGAAGCUAUGCGUUGCUUUACAAAAUUAAGAAACCAAUUUAAUAUACAAGGCCUGAAGACUAACCCUAACAAGAGGAGGAGAAGGGGGUCCCGCCAACCCAGUAAUUAGAGUAGUUAGCCAGGGAUUCCAGUUAAACAUGCUUUGGUACUUUGGUACUCCAGGAAUGAGAAAGGUGGUGUUACUUUCUUGUUCCUUCUGGCAUCUAUCUAGAUUUUCUCGAACUCUUUGAAGAGUAUUUUUUAUGACUCCAGACUGAUUGGCAUAGAAACAACAACUUUCUUCUAGAGCUGUGCAUAAACCUCCUUGGGAGAUAAAUAGCAGAUCUAAGCCUCGGCGGUUUUGAAGAACUACUUCAGCUAGAGACUCUACCUGGGCAUGUAGUAUAUUUAUGGCUGAUUGGAGAUUGCUUAAAUCAGCAUCUACCUGUUGAGAUAGUGAUAUUAGUCCAGUUUCUCCUUGAAUCAGGGCAGUCGUGCCAAUAGCUGCUGACGUAGCUAUGCUAAGGCCAGCUAGAAGGGGUACAAGGAGUAGGGCAGCUCGGUGAAACCUGAAAUGCAAUUCAGGGGGAGCAAUGAGAAGUUGUCCUUCUGGCCCACUGUACAUGUAGAUCUGGGGGAGUACAUGAAUCAACAUGCAUAGGAGAGGUCCAGGUUCAGUCCCAUUGAUGCAGCGAGUGAGGCCUGAAAUGCAGGCCAACCAGGUAUUUUUGGGUGCCUGGUAGGAGACUGAGGGGUUUAAGGAAGUAAGGAGAGACUCACUACAAGUAGCCUGAAAGGGAGAAGCAGGUAAGUUAUACCUUGCGCUAAUUAGACAGAAGGCAUUCCCUGACACAUCUCCUAGUGUAAGGGCAUGGGGGCACGUAUGACAAGAAAGAGAGUCCAUUUUGAGCAUGGCUUCUACUCCUAAUCCAACAUAAUAUGGGGGUUUGGCCUUUCGGCACAACCAGCAAUCUCAGGCUAGUUUAGGCUUGGUGAGAUUAAGGAGGUGAUGUAUCCCGUCCAAAAUGGACAUCGGGCUGGGUUGGAGGUAUUGUCAUUGCAGCUGGGGUCUCAGAACCAGGAAUGGCAGUGGGACAGUUAAAUCGACUCUCUCUGGGUGUUUUUGGAACAUAGGGUCACCUAAAUCAGUUAAAGUUCUGAUUGGCUUCAUGGGACCAGGAAUUUUUUCUGGAUGGUGAACAUAGUUCCAACAUCAAAUCCUGAAAUAUAAAGCCUUAAUCCCUAUGACAUGCUGUAAUACCAUUGAGUUAAACUAGGGUUACGGAGAGUUAUAGUAAGAGGAUUACAAUUUCCUAUAGUACACGGCUUAGGAUGGGAAGCACAAGCUAUGGAAAGGGUUGAGGAUCAGGUUCAUCCUCCAGAGUAAGUGGCCAAGGUUACACACAUGCAGUAAGGGCAGAAAAACUGGUAAGAAUCUCGACAACUAGAGUCAGGGCGAUUUCCAGGACAAAGGUAAAAGUCAACGCUCUGGAGCCUUUUUUCUGCACCCUUAGAACUUCCACAUCCAGUUUGGCUUCUGGUGUGUCCGAACCCUGCAGCAAGGUCAGCGUUCCCUGCUCUCAUGAUCGGCAGAUUGCAUUGCUCUUCAAGGGUAUGGGCAGGGUCGGGGAACAAAGCACAUAAACCGACUACAAAAGAGACUUCCUUGGAGGGUCCCACCUUCCAAGUGGUGUUUGCAAACACACAUCCUGUCAUGAAGGAAGUGAGGAGAAAAGAGUAGGAAGGGGCAGAGGACAUAACAGGUGGAAACAGACAGAAGAGGUAAAUAAAAAGAAUUAAUUCGAUAGCUUUACUCAACUUAGGCGCAGUUUUAAGGGGCCUGGCCUAGGCUUGGGGACCCAUUUUUUUUGCUGGGCUUUGUUGGCCUUUUUGAUGCGAGAAUGAUGAAUCCAAGCAGGAGUGCCGUCCACCUUCAGAGCUGUUGGUGUGGUGAGGAUGACAGUAUGAGGUCCUUUCCAGGCAGGAGUCAGUCCUUUUUUCUGGAACUUUUUAACAUACACUAGGUCACCCAGCUGGAAAGAGUGGCAGGGCCCAGUCUGGUCAGGAACUGGGCUGGGGUGUGCUCCCCUGACAAGCAGCUGGAUGAUGUCUUGUACCCGUUGGAGAGACUGCAGGUACUGUAACAAGUUAGCUUGUGAGAUUUCUGCUAAAUGGGUAUCCUUUAGCUUAGGCAAGAUAGGCGGAGCCCUUCCAUACAUGAUUUCAAAAGGUGAAAACCCAGCCUGGUAAGGGGUGCAUCUUACUCUAAGAAGGGCUAAAGGAAGGAGCUUUACCUAGUUUUCACUGGUUUCUAGGAUUAAUUUUGCAAGAGUACUUUUUAGGAUGGGGUUCAUGCAUUCUACUUGUCCAGAGCUCUGGGGUCGAUAGGCACAAUGGAGUUUCCAUUGAAUGUUUAAUGCCUUGCUGACCGACUGAGCUAUGGACGAGGUGAAGGCUGGUCCAUUAUCAGACCUUAUUACAACAGGCAGUCCAUGUUGAGGGAUGAUUUCAUUGAGUAAAAGCUUAACUACCGUGGUAGCAGUUUCGUUUUUGGUGGCAAAUGCCUCAGUCCAUCCAGAAAAGGUGUCUACUAGCACCAGGAGGUAUUUAUACCCUGCCAAGUGUGGUUUUACCUCUGUAAAGUCAAUUUCCCACCUUCCUCCUGGCAAGCCUCCCUGGAGGCGGUGGCCUGGGCUGGGCUUAGGACCUUGCUUGGUGUUUACUUGGGCACAAGCCGUUUACUGGAGAGCUGCUUGGUUAGUUAAGUCCUGAAGGUGGGGGAUCUUGAAAUGGCUCCUUAGAAGCUGGGCCAGUUUUACUCCUCCUAAAUGGGUGGUAGAAUGUAGAUGAUUGAUAAAAGUUUCCCCAAGGGCUUGGGGCAUGAAGAUUCUGGAAUCAGGAAGAAUUCACCAACCUUCCUGAUUUUUACUGGCUUGAAGAUCCGAAGCUUGUUUUUCUUCCUCUGGGGAGUAUUCUGGGUAGUCUGCCCAGUCAGUUGUGGAAAGGACACAGAGGGCAGCAGGGUUAAAGGCACGACCAGGAGCUGAGCUGCCUCUCAAGCUGCAGAGUCUGCUCUUUGGUUACCACGAGCAAUGGCCAUGUCUUCUCUUUGAUGUCCUUUGCAGUGAAUUGCAGCCACCUGUUGAGGGAGCCAAACAGCUUCAAGCAGGGCUAAAAUUUCUUCUUUGUUGUUGACACUCUUUCCUGCUGAGGUAGGAAAUGCUGGGAAGAAAAAGCUGGGCCUUCUUGGCUGGGACCUGAUACCCGAAUUCCUGAAGGAGGUAAAGUAGGUCCGUAGUAUGUUGCAGGCAGCUGUCAGUAGUUUCAGUAGCCAAUAACAGGUCGUCUACAUACUGGAGAAGAGUGCAGUUAGGGUGACUGGCUCAGAAUGGUAAAAGAUCCUGUUGGAGGGCUUCCCUAAAAAGGGUGGGGGAAUUUUUAAAACUUCGGGGUAACCAAGUCCAGGUUAAUUGGGUGGUGUCUACCGAGCCAGGAUAUGUCUGUUCAAAAGCAAAGAUAGGUUGACUUUUGGGGCCAGAGGAAUAGCAAAAAAAAGCAUCCUUGAAGUCAAGGACAGUGUACACCAUAUGUUCUGGUGGGAGCAGGCUGAGUAAAGUAUAAGGGUUAGAGACAGUUGGAUGGACAGUGACUGUCUGCUUGUUACCUUCCUGCAAGUCCUGUACAGGCUGGUAAUCAUUUGUUCCGGGUUUCUGGACCGGCAAAAAUGGAAUAUUCCAGGCGAUCUCACAUGGUAUAUGGUCCCUCUCUUCAGAGGUGAAAAGGGAUGAAAGGAGUUGCUGACACUCAUCCCAGGUGGGCCGAGUGUCCAGAGUUUGCCUUUUUUAAGGCGGACCCCGUAAUCAUCUGAGAAGCCUAGAGAGAAAUUCUGCAACAUACACUGGAGAGGACUCCAAUCUUUAUGGGGCCGGGAAGAAGAGUUUACUAUUCUGGAGGCAAUUAACAAGGUUUGAACAAAAAUAUUAAACCCAGCAUGGACAAAGAUAUUCACGGCCUGGGAGGCUAUGGUAUCAGAAGAACAGAAGUAUUAUAGCUAGAAGAAGUAGGAAAACAACUAUAGCCAAUAUUUCUUGCCACAUAAGGUCUGUCUCCUCAAGCUUCGAGAUCUAUGGAGAGGAUAAGAGGUGGGUCCAAGGGAUCCUCAGCCAGUGGGACUUAGGUGACCCCCCCUUCUUGACUUAUAUCCCAAAUAACUUUGGUGUCUCCACGACUCGAAAGCAAAAUGUUCAAACUCGGUCCUUUCCUUCACGGGUUUAAGGAGGGAGAACACAGCCAAGUCUUAGAGACGCUGGACUUGCUGCAACACAGGAAAAUGAGAUGUGCAGGGUAAGGGAUGGGGAUGAGGAGGAAAGGGGCCACUUGGAUUUCCCUAAAGGUUGGAGAGUAGCCAAAAGAGGUAAAAUAAGAGUCCAGACAGAGUAGAGCAGUAUGGGUGUAGGUUUCUCUGCACAGUGCCUUAUUUAAGGGCAUGGGAAAAGUUAUGGGAUGACAGAAAAGGUGAGUAAGGAGGUCAGCAGGGUGGCUAUUUUGGAUCCACCACUGGUCUAAGGAGAAGGUGGACCAGUCGUUGGGGCGUGGGGUAUGGCAAUCCAAACGCCAGCAAUCUUUAUGGUGCCAGAAAUCCUAAACGGGUGAAUGUCUUCCACACCCUUCCCCAUAACAACACCUAAUUUGUUUCUGACAGGAAAGGCAGGACUGGGAUGGCCAGCCCAACCGACUAAUGAGGAAUUUGACCUCCUGGGAUAGAAAAUCUGUACUAAGGACCUUGAAGAAGUCCUUGCCCAGUCAUUUUGGGCAGUAUCGACGAUCCGACAUAUGAAAUUUAGACAGACACUAAACAGGACAAUAGGCACUGGGGUAUAUAAACAAGCAUGGCAAUUUUUAUAGACAGACAAGGGGAGGGGGUCCCGUGAUGGGAUCAGUCAGAUGCCCUCCUGGCUGCUCCCCUUUCGGGGACUUAGGCUCCUCUUGGCAUUGGCAGGCUGGUAUAAACCCCUGGCUUGGAUCGAGCUAUGCCUGAUGCCGCCCUAAGCCUUAUGAGGUCACCACGGAACCACAGGUGAGGGCCUUCUCGAAUUCCCUAGCUUUCACCCUGGAGCUACAAACUGGAAAUUCAAGCGCAAGCCCUUGAACUCCACAUUCACUCACUCACUCACUCACUCAGAGUUUAUUACAAUUUUUAUACCCAUUCUAAAACAGAGAUCUCCCGGAGACCUGAAUGAGAGAGGGAGAAGAGAUAGAGAGAGAGAGAGACUAGACUUAACAGAGAAUCCUGACAGAAACCAGGACUCUGUCCUCCAGUGUCCUGGAGCAUGGACAGAGUCUGAGGGAGGACCUUCGUCAGGGCCGUUUCCCUCCCAGAGAGACAGAGUCAGAUCUGACUUACCUUCCCGGGACUAGAGACUGAGGACUCAGGAGUUGAAUUUGGCUGGGCGCACCGGCAGUCGAUCCGUUCCCCUCCAGAAGACAGUGGCCUGUGGAGCCCUGGAACGUCUUCAGGUGGCCCUGUAAGCCAGCUGUCUGUCUGGGGAAGCCCGGAAUGAGUCAGGUCUUCACCCGGUGGCGAAUCUCUCUGGGGCUUCCAAAUGUCGUAACCGAGCAAGUCAUAGAGAGAAUGCCACACUCUGAGACUAAUUCAGGAGUCCUUUAUUGCUGGCGACUGAGAAAGAGCUAGAGCUUGAAAUUCUCUCGGUCCGGAAGAAGAGGCUAGAGUUCUUUUUAUACCUUGGCCUAAAGAGGGGAGGGGGAGUCUAGCUGAAGCAAUUUUUUACAGAAGCAGAACAGGAAAAAAUUAAAAGAUAAAUGGUUACAGAAACAGUUACAGGAAAAUAAACAGUUCCAGGUGCAGGGGCUUAAAGUAUCCCAAAGUGAUAAAAGCAGGGGCUUUGGAUACCACCAACCAAGUGUGCUCCCAGGAGCUGCUGGUACAGCUUGCCUCAGUAUCUUAUCAAUAAGCGCAUUCUUGGAUGUGCUUGGAGUCAGCUUGCACCAGUUAUGUCCUUAAGGAGGGGGACAAGGGGCUGCAAGCGAAGAAACCAAGCUAAGACUCUCUCAGCUAUUGACUCUCUCGAUAUUGACUCUCAAUUGAGUCUCCCAAGCUAUUGACUCUCUCAGCUAAGAAAGAGUCAAUCAGGAUAAAACAAGAUAGGGUAUCACAAUUUGAUCUGCAAGAUUAUUUCCUGGACUUGUGAAAGGCGAGUCGUUUUGGUGCCCUGGGACAUGUACAAUAGCUAUCUCUUCUGGCAAUUGGAGAUUGUUGAGGACACGAGCAUCAGUUCUCUAUGAACUAAAUCUUGGCCUCUACUAUUGAUAAGAGCCCUCUCCAUCCAAAUUUUCCCAAAUGUGUGUGCCUCCCCAGAGGGAUACUUAGAGUCAGUAUAGAUAGAUUUUCUUGGUUUUGUAAAUGUCCUAAAGCUUGGCUGAGUGCAAACAGUUCACACCCUUGGACAGACCAAUUAUUAGACCCCCUUCCUGAUUUUACUUUUUUAACAGUCUUUCCAUUAAUCACUGAAUACCUAUUAUGUCUCUUUCUUUUAAUCACCUGGGAGGUUCCAUCUAUGAAUAAGUGCCACCCUGUCUUGAAGGGAGUUUUUCCUAAGUCUGGUUGAACUUUCGUAUGGUAAUUAAUUCGAUUUAAACACGCGUGCUCUCUCGUUUUACGUUUGGAUCCCCCGUUAAAGAGCCUGCUGAAUAAAGUGAAUUAUUAGUACUUAAUAUUAAAUCACCUUUUUCCCAGAAAGAUAGCCUCAUAUUUUAAAAUUUUUGAGUUGGUAAUCUCCCUCCUUGCGUUUUGAUUUAAUAUAGUUUUAACUUGGUGGGUUGUGGCCUGAAGCGGCUGGGGAGUAACUUGAAACCUCAGCUGAAGGGACAGCACAGGCUGGGGCGUGGCCUGAAACAGCUGGGGAGUAACCUGAAACCACAGCCGGAGGGACCUGAGAGGGGAACCAAAGGGGCAGGAUUGGGGGCGCUGAAGGAAGGAAGGUGAUUUAGAGGAUCCCAUGUCUUGGUAGGUAUGGGUUGUCUAGGCAUGGGAACUCUUUCCUUUUUAGAAAGGUUGGUUUCUGAUUUUCUCCCUCCAGAGUCUAAAGGGUAAAGGAGAACUGGUCCCUGCCGCCAGCAGAGGGCGUAAUCGAUUUUUCCUGGGACACAGGGCUCUUACUGUUAACAUAUUUGAUUAACAGCUGACAAAUUCGCUCUUCAUUAGACUUAAAUUUUGGCCAGAAAAGUGAGGGCUUAAGGAUGGGUUCUCGAACUUAAAUAAAACAACAAUAUUCUAUCAUCUGCUGUUUUUGUUUAUACUUGGUUCUCUUAUUAUUUUUUCAAUACUUUAGCAUAAGCCCCAAGGGGCUAUCAGAAGGAAAUUCAUCACUCUCUAGACUCUUUAGUUUUCCUGUCUUACUUGAAACGUUCCCCAUCUUAGGGAUUAUGGGGAGGAGGCCCAACCCCUCCUGUGAGAUUUCUACCCUCCCCCUUCCUGGAGGCUUACUGAGGCUUUGGGGAAAGGCUCCAACCCAACCUGUUUGGAUUUCUACCCUCCCCCUUCCUCUUUGUCUACUCUGUCUGUUCCUGACUCUAGUUGACAGAUGGCAGCAUGAGGCCAUAGAGAAGACUCACUCACUCCACAUAACCACCAUACUAAGUCCCAUUCAUACACUGUCAGCCUCCAGCUUAUCCCAACCACCUGGGAAAUACUUUGUCACCUUCGCCAAGUCUCCUACCUUAUUCCAUGCACAAGAAUUUCCUGGUCCUCUUAUUGUUGCGGUCUUGCAAGCUUCUCCUCCCCGCUUUGCUGAGAUCCAGACUUAUUUGUCACAAAGCGGGGGGGGGGCCCUGAUCUCCCUCAACCUAGGGGCACGGUAACUAGACAGUAGGAUGCGUCCCCUCCGGGUGGGGUGACCGAAGGCCCCCUUCCCAAAGGAGAAGAUUCGAGCCCCAAAGUUGGGCUCCAGAACUGUUAGGAAUAACGCUCAAAAUCUUAAGGAAAUUGAACACUUGAACAAAGGAUUCUUAGCAAAGCAAUUUUACUUCUGCGCAGAGAGGUGCCUCCUUGUCCAGUCGCCAUGAGAGCACACCUGAAAAAGGGGCACGAGAGCCUUUACUCCUGACACAAGUACUGCCCCUGUACCCUUUCUCCAUUGGCCAGGGUCAGGUCGUACAAUCUAAACUAAUCCUGGUUGGCUAAACAUUGGAUUUUUUUUAGAUAAGGUGGGCACGUAAAAAAGGCAGAGAAUAAAGGGGAAGGGGUGUCUGUAAUGAGCUAAAAAGUUAGUCCUCUUUCCAAAUAAGGAAAGGAAUGUGAGCAGGUACAGAUACCACCUGGUACUGUGGCAUGCCUGGGCAUGUAACAAAGGAAAAAAGAGAAAAAAGGAGAAAAAGGAAAAAAGGUGGAGGGAUUA